rnacentral:tmRNA from 1 species
GGGGUCGACUGGAUUUGACAGCGAUCUAGUAAUAUUAGUAAGCAAGUCGAGCGAUUAGUUACAGCUCGUUAAUAUCAACUAAAACUUUUAAAUGGCGAAAAUAAAUACGCUCUUGCUGCUUAAGACUGAAUUAUAGUAAGUCUAGCCAUGUUCUACAAGGUAGAAAAGCGAGAUACCUCGAAAUUUUUUUUGUUGACAAUCAUUUCAUAGAGGUACUGUUAUGUUAACAUAGGAUAACUAUUUCUUCAAUAGUCAUCUGAAAUUAUGAAGAUAAGUAGUAUUUAUGUAGUUUUCAGCAAGAAUACUAACGAAAAUUAAAUGAAAACUAAAUUUGUAGAAACCUAAAAUUUCAGUCGUUUGGACGAGGGUUCGAUUCCCUCCGACUCCACUA